ACAAGCGGCGGAGCAUGUGGAUUAAUUCGAUGCAACGCGAAGAACCUUACCUGGGUUUGACAUACACCGGAAAACCGUAGAGAUACGGUCCCCCUUGUGGUCGGUGUACAGGUGGUGCAUGGCUGUCGUCAGCUCGUGUCGUGAGAUGUUGGGUUAAGUCCCGCAACGAGCGCAACCCUUGUCUUAUGUUGCCAGCACGUAAUGGUGGGGACUCGUAAGAGACUGCCGGGGUCAACUCGGAGGAAGGUGGGACGACGUCAAGUCAUCAUGCCCCUUAUGUCCAGGGCUUCACACAUGCUACAAUGGCCAGUACAGAGGGCUGCGAGACCGUGAGGUGGAGCGAAUCCCUUAAAGCUGGUCUCAGUUCGGAUCGGGGUCUGCAACUCGACCCCGUGAAGUCGGAGUCGCUAGUAAUCGCAGAUCAGCAACGCUGCGGUGAAUACGUUCCCGGGCCUU
rnacentral:rRNA from 1 species